UGGGGAAUUUUGGACAAUGGGCGCAAGCCUGAUCCAGCCAUGCCGCGUGCGGGAAGAAGGCCUUCGGGUUGUAAACCGCUUUUGUCAGGGAAGAAAUCUUCUGAGUUAAUACCUCGGGAGGAUGACGGUACCUGAAGAAUAAGCACCGGCUAACUACGUGCCAGCAGCCGCGGUAAUACGUAGGGUGCAAGCGUUAAUCGGAAUUACUGGGCGUAAAGCGUGCGCAGGCGGUUUUGUAAGACAGAGGUGAAAUCCCCGGGCUCAACCUGGGAACUGCCUUUGUGACUGCAAGGCUUGAGUGCGGCAGAGGGGGAUGGAAUUCCGCGUGUAGCAGUGAAAUGCGUAGAUAUGCGGAGGAACACCGAUGGCGAAGGCAAUCCCCUGGGCCUGCACUGACGCUCAUGCACGAAAGCGUGGGGAGCAAACAGGAUUAGAUACCCUGGUAGUCCACGCCCUAAACGAUGUCAACUGGUUGUUGGGAAGGUUCCUUCCCAGUAACGUAGCUAACGCGUGAAGUUGACCGCCUGGGGAGUACGGCCGCAAGGUUGAAACUCAAAUGAA
rnacentral:rRNA from 1 species